GUGGAGGAACUUCCGGCAGCGGCAGCUCAAGUGGCUAAGGCAAGAUGGGUCAAAGUCAGAGUGGUGGUCAUGGUCCUGGAGGUGGCAAGAAGGAUGACAAGGACAAGAAAAAGAAAUAUGAACCUCCUGUACCAACUAGAGUGGGGAAAAAGAAGAAGAAAACAAAGGGACCAGAUGCUGCCAGCAAACUGCCACUGGUGACACCUCACACUCAGUGCCGGUUAAAAUUACUGAAGUUAGAGAGAAUUAAAGACUAUCUUCUCAUGGAGGAGGAAUUCAUUAGAAAUCAGGAACAAAUGAAACCAUUAGAAGAAAAGCAAGAGAUCAAAAGUGGAUGAUCUGAGGGGGACCCCGAUGUCAGUAGGAACCUUGGAAGAGAUCAUUGAUGACAAUCAUGCCAUCGUGUCUACAUCUGUGGGCUCAGAACACUACGUCAGCAUUCUUUCAUUUGUAGACAAGGAUCUGCUGGAACCUGGCUGCUCGGUCCUGCUCAACCACAAGGUGAGGUGAUAGUCUUUUUCAGAAAGCCCACGGAAGUGCUUUCUCUUCUCACUUAGGUUCAUCUUCCUGUCCCGUGGAAG
rnacentral:sRNA from 1 species